rnacentral:lncRNA from 1 species
GAUAAAAUUCGAGAAGAAAGGUUGAGAUGGUUUGAGUAUGUGAUGAGGAGGGGUACGGAUGCUCCAGUCCGCAGGUGUGAGAGUAUAGUGUUGGAGGGUUUCAGGAGGAGGAGAGGUAGGCCGAAGAAGUAUUGGAGGAAAGUGAUUAGACACGAUAUGGAGCAGCUACAGCUUACCGAGGACAUGACCCUAGAUAGGAAGGCGUGGAGGUUGCGAAUAAGGGUAGAAGGCUAGGAUGAGUGCGUGAGUUGUAGCAAGUAGGUAGGAGUCACUAGUCAGGAGGGCCCAGGUUUUCUUGGUCUGUGAAUGUUUGUUACUACUAGGGGGUGUCGUAUUCUGGAUGCCCUAUCGCUUAUCUCUUAUUUAUUGCGCCUAUUUAUCUUAUUUAGUAUUGC